UGGGGAAUAUUGCACAAUGGGCGCAAGCCUGAUGCAGCCAUGCCGCGUGUAUGAAGAAGGCCUUCGGGUUGUAAAGUACUUUCAGCGGGGAGGAAGGGAGUAAAGUUAAUACCUUUACUCAUUGACGUUACCCGCAGAAGAAGCACCGGCUAACUCCGUGCCAGCAGCCGCGGUAAUACGGAGGGUGCAAGCGUUAAUCGGAAUUACUGGGCGUAAAGCGCACGCAGGCGGUUUGUUAAGUCAGAUGUGAAAUCCCCGGGCUCAACCUGGGAACUGCAUCUGAUACUGGCAAGCUUGAGUCUCGUAGAGGGGGGUAGAAUUCCAGGUGUAGCGGUGAAAUGCGUAGAGAUCUGGAGGAAUACCGGUGGCGAAGGCGGCCCCAUGGACGAAGACUGACGCUCAGGUGCGAAAGCGUGGGGAGCAAACAGG
rnacentral:rRNA from 1 species